AUUGAACGCUGGCGGCAUGCCUUACACAUGCAAGUCGAACGGCAGCACGGGAGCAAUCCUGGUGGCGAGUGGCGAACGGGUGAGUAAAGUAUCGGAACGUGCCCAGUCGUGGGGGAUAACGUAGCGAAAGUUACGCUAAUACCGCAUACGAUCUAUGGAUGAAAGCGGGGGAUCGCAAGACCUCGCGCGAUUGGAGCGGCCGAUAUCAGAUUAGGUAGUUGGUGGGGUAAAGGCUCACCAAGCCGACGAUCUGUAGCUGGUCUGAGAGGACGACCAGCCACACUGGGACUGAGACACGGCCCAGACUCCUACGGGAGGCAGCAGUGGGGAAUUUUGGACAAUGGGCGAAAGCCUGAUCCAGCCAUGCCGCGUGCAGGAUGAAGGCCUUCGGGUUGUAAACUGCUUUUGUACGGAACGAAAAGGUUUGGCCUAAUAAGCUGAGCUCAUGACGGUACCGUAAGAAUAAGCACCGGCUAACUACGUGCAGCAGCCGCCGCCGUAA
rnacentral:rRNA from 1 species